rnacentral:rRNA from 1 species
UGGGGAAUAUUGGACAAUGGGCGAAAGCCUGAUCCAGCCAUGCCGCGUGUGUGAAGAAGGUCUUCGGAUUGUAAAGCACUUUAAGUUGGGAGGAAGGGCAGUAAGCGAAUACCUUGCUGUUUUGACGUUACCGACAGAAUAAGCACCGGCUAACUCUGUGCCAGCAGCCGCGGUAAUACAGAGGGUGCAAGCGUUAAUCGGAAUUACUGGGCGUAAAGCGCGCGUAGGUGGUUCGUUAAGUUGAAUGUGAAAGCCCCGGGCUCAACCUGGGAACAGCAUCCAAAACUGGCGAGCUAGAGUAGGGCAGAGGGUAGUGGAAUUUCCUGUGUAGCGGUGAAAUGCGUAGAUAUAGGAAGGAACACCAGUGGCGAAGGCGACCACCUGGGCUCAUACUGACACUGAGGUGCGAAAGCGUGGGGAGCAAACAGG